AUUGAACGCUGGCGGCAGGCCUAACACAUGCAAGUCGAGCGGAUGAAGGGAGCUUGCUCCUGGAUUCAGCGGCGGACGGGUGAGUAAUGCCUAGGAAUCUGCCUGGUAGUGGGGGAUAACGUCCGGAAACGGGCGCUAAUACCGCAUACGUCCUGAGGGAGAAAGUGGGGGAUCUUCGGACCUCACGCUAUCAGAUGAGCCUAGGUCGGAUUAGCUAGGUGGUGGGGUAAAGGCCUACCAAGGCGACGAUCCGUAACUGGUCUGAGAGGAUGAUCAGUCACACUGGAACUGAGACACGGUCCAGACUCCUACGGGAGGCAGCAGUGGGGAAUAUUGGACAAUGGGCGAAAGCCUGAUCCAGCCAUGCCGCGUGUGUGAAGACGGUCUUCGGAUUGUAAAGCACUUUAAGUUGGGAGGAAGGGCAGUAAGUUAAUACCUUGCUGUUUUGACGUUACCAACAGAAUAAGCACCGGCUAACUUCGUG
rnacentral:rRNA from 1 species